GCUCUGGUGGCUUAGUGGUUAGAACAUCCACCUCAGAUGCGGGAGGUUGCAGGUUCGAUCCCUGGCUGAAUAAUACCAAAGACA